UCGGAAGCUAAGCAGGAUUGGGCCAGGUUAGUACUUGGAUGGGAGACCGUCUGGGAAAACCAGGUACUGUAAGCUU
rnacentral:rRNA from 1 species